GACGAACGCUGGCGGCGUGCUUAACACAUGCAAGUCGAACGGAAAGGCCCUGCUUUUGUGGGGUGCUCGAGUGGCGAACGGGUGGGUAACACGUGAGUAACCUGCCCUUGACUUUGGGAUAACUUCAGGAAACUGGGGCUAAUACCGGAUAGGAGCUCCUGCUGCAUGGUGGGGGAUGGAAAGUUUCGGCGGUUGGGGAUGGACUCGCGGCUUAUCAGCUUGUUGGUGGGGUAGUGGCUUACAAAGGCUUUGACGGGUAGCCGGCCUGGGAGGGUGACCGGCCACAUGGGGACUGAGAGACGGCCCAGACGCCUACGGGAGGCAGCAGUGGGGAAUAUUGCGGAAUGGGCGGAAGCCUGAUGCAGAAACGCCGCGUGCGGGAUGACGGCCUUCGGGUUGUAAACCGCUUUCUCCUGUGACGAAGCGUGAGUGACGGUAAUGGGUAAAGAAGCACCGGCUAACUACGUG
rnacentral:rRNA from 1 species